rnacentral:rRNA from 1 species
AUUGAACGCUGGCGGCAUGCUUUACACAUGCAAGUCGAACGGUAACAGGCCUUCUGGUGCUGACGAGUGGCGUACGGGUGAGUAAUGCAUCGGAACGUGCCCAGAGGUGGGGGAUAACGCAGCGUAAGCUGUGCUAAUACCGCAUGUGAUCUGAGGAUGAAACCGGGGGACCAGGCAGCAAUGUUUGGCCUCGCGCCUUUGGAGCGGCCGAUGUCAGAUUAGGUAGUUGGCGGGGUAAAGGCCUACCAAGCCGACGAUCUGUAGCUGGUCUGAGAGGACGACCAGCCACACUGGGACUGAGACACGGCCCAGACUCCUACGGGAGGCAGCAGUGGGGAAUUUUGGACAAUGGGCGCAAGCCUGAUCCAGCAAUGCCGCGUGCGGGAAGAAGGCCUUCGGGUUGUAAAACGCUUUUGUACGGAACGAAAAGGCUCUGGCUAAUACCUGGGGCUGAUGACGGUACCGGAAGAAUAAGCACCGGCUAACUACGUG